rnacentral:rRNA from 1 species
GACGAACCGUCCGAACGUUAUUCGGAAUUACUGGGCUUAAAGGGUGCGUAGGCGGCUUGGAAAGUUGGGUGUGAAAUACCUCGGCUCAACCGGGGAAUAGCGCUCAAAACUGCCAGGCUUGAGGGAGAUAGAGGUGAGCGGAACUUAAGGUGGAGCGGUGAAAUGCGUUGAUAUCUUAAGGAACACCCGUGGCGAAAGCGGCUCACUGGAUCUCUUCUGACGCUCAGGCACGAAAGCUAGGGGAGCGAACGGG